AAACUUAAAUGAAUUGGCGGGGGAGCACACAAGGGGUGAAGCUUGCGGUUUAAUUGGAGUCAACGCCGGAAAUCUCACCGGGAGGAGGAGGUGCAUGGCCGUCGCCAGUUCGUGCCGUGAGGUGUCCUGUUAAGUCAGGCAACGAUCGAGACCCGCGUCCUCUGUUGCCACACUGAGGAGACCGCCGCUGAUAAAGCGGAGGAAGGAGCGGGCCACGGCAGGUCAGUAUGCCCCGAAUCUCCCGGGCCACACGCGAGCUGCAAUGGCAGGUACAAUGAGUUCCGACCUCGAAAGGGGGAGGCAAUCUCGAAAGCUUGCCGUAGUUGGGAUUGAGGGUUGUAACCCAUCCUCAUGAACAUGGAAUCCCUAGUAAUCGCGUGUCACUAGCGCGCGGUGAAUACGUCCCUGCUCCUUGCACACACCGCCCGU
rnacentral:rRNA from 1 species